rnacentral:rRNA from 1 species
AAAUUGGUUUAAUUAUGGCCAUUAUAAGCUCCCUCUUGAGAAAUUACAUAGUAAUUUACUUGUUAUUUUAAUUACUCUUAAUUAUUUUUUACUAGUAACGCAUUUUUCAUCAGAUAAAAAAUAUGCUGAGGUCUCAGGGGUUAUAAGUGGAUAAUUCACAGUGCCAGCAUCCGCGGUUAUUCUGUAGCUUUAGCUUAUUUAUAUACUAUUAUUUUAUUCUUAAUAAUUUCUUUGAGGUCAAAUUUUAGGAAUUAUAAAAUUGUUAGAAUAAUUUUUAUUAAAUAUAUUUUUAAACAUGAAUUAGAUACUCAUUUAUAAAAUAUUUUAAACUUUAAAUUUUAGUUAAACUAAAAUAAUUUGGCAGCUGACUAUUCUUUAUUGGGGAUGGUGUGUCUUAAAAGAUAAUCCGCUUUUUAUUUUACCUUCAUUAAUUAGUUGGUGUACGUCCGGUUUGAUAUUAACAAUUAAAUUUUAUUGUUAGUGUACACUUAUUUGUUUAAGCUAGGUCAAUGUGCUACUUAUAUGAGGGGUUUCAUUCCAUACUUUAACAAGAUUUAAAUGAAAAAUUAAAGAUUUAGGACUAAUUAGUAAUCACUUUAAACAUGAUGUGUUGAAUUAAGUUUAGUCGGGGUACAUACCGCCCGUCAAUCUCGAUAUAAAUUGAGAUAAGUCGUAACAUGGUAGCUGUAGGGGAACCUGUAGCUAGUAGAUC